rnacentral:tRNA from 1 species
GAGGGUAUAGCUGAGGAGUGAGGCACAUGCUUAGCAUGCAUGAGGUCCUGGGUUCAGUCCCAGUAUCUCCA